UACACAUCUGAAGUAUGCAAAUAUUUAACAAAUAAAGACUAAAACAGUGCUCUUUUUUGUAUAAAAUGGGAAGCAAAACGAAAAGUAAUAUAAACACGAAAUCUAAAGUGAGGCUGAGCUCGAAAAUAUUUUGGAAAACAGAAUAUUUUUACGUACCAGAACCUACGUUUAAGCCGAUGGCUCCUUUGGCAGCAAUACGAUAUAUUCCGAUGUUAAUAAGAUAUUGCAUAUAUAUAAGGAACAUAGUGAUAAAUAUAUGACAGCUACAUGAUUCCGAUUCGGCCGGUUCUGUCAUAAGUAUUGCCGGCAGCAGAAAGAAGGACCUAUGCAAAGUUUCAAGACGAUGAACAGACGGGCGAUCAGACAGACGGUCAUAUCUAUAGCAAAUCGCUUGUGAAUGCUGAUCUAGUAUAUAUGUUCAUUAUGGAGUCGGAGAUGUCUCCUUCAUUGAAGCUUGGUAAUUAGUAAUUACCAAGUAUAGUCAAGAAAGCUUGAGAAACACAAAAGCUUUCCAUACAAAACAUACUUGUCGAACGAUUCGAUCUGUAGAGCUUUAUGAUAUAGAAGCAUAGUGUAUAUAGAAGGCUUAAAUUGAAUGUGAUUGCUUUUGGGCGGAAGUGCAAGGUUAACGAUUAAUUGGAGCCGAAAUAGCAUAAGUUAAGCUUUAAUAAUCUCCGCAAAGGCAUUUGCGGCGAACUAAAUUAAAGAUAUUUGAAAUAAUCAAAUUAAUAUAUUUUUUAAUCAAAAUACUUUCACGCCUUGACAAGAGCAGAGAUCAAAUUAAAGGUCUUCUGAAUCGCAUGCCCUCCCCAGCUGAGAGCACAUUUUUUGCAUACUCCAGCUGAAAAGAAAGGUUUAAUAAAGUGAAAGCAGUUCAUGAAA